UGGGGAAUAUUGCACAAUGGGCGCAAGCCUGAUGCAGCCAUGCCGCGUGUGUGAAGAAGGCCUUCGGGUUGUAAAGCACUUUCAGCGAGGAGGAAGGUGGUGAGCUUAAUACGCUCAUCAAUUGACGUUACUCGCAGAAGAAGCACCGGCUAACUCCGUGCCAGCAGCCGCGGUAAUACGGAGGGUGCAAGCGUUAAUCGGAAUUACUGGGCGUAAAGCGCACGCAGGCGGUUUGUUAAGUCAGAUGUGAAAUCCCCGGGCUCAACCUGGGAACUGCAUUUGAAACUGGCAAGCUAGAGUCUCGUAGAGGGGGGUAGAAUUCCAGGUGUAGCGGUGAAAUGCGUAGAGAUCUGGAGGAAUACCGGUGGCGAAGGCGGCCCCCUGGACGAAGACUGACGCUCAGGUGCGAAAGCGUGGGGCAGCAAACAGGAUUAGAUACCCUGGUAGUCCACGCUGUAGACGAUGUCGAUUUUGGAGGUUGUGCCCUUGAGGCGUGGCUUCCGGAGCUAACGCGUUAAUCGACCGCCUGGGGAGUACGGCCGCAAGGUUAAAACUCAAAUGAAUUGACGGGGUCAUAGCUGUUUCCUG
rnacentral:rRNA from 1 species